AGAGUUUGAUCCUGGCUCAGGAUGAACGCUAGCGGCAGGCCUAAUACAUGCAAGUCGGACGGGAUUCAGGGAGUAGCUUGCUACGAACUGAUGAGAGUGGCGCACGGGUGCGUAACGCGUGAGCAACCUACCCAUAUCAGGGGGAUAGCCUCUCGAAAGAGAGAUUAACACCGCAUAACAUCAUUUACCGGCAUCGGUUUUUGAUCAAAUAUUUAUAGGAUAUGGAUGGGCUCGCGUGACAUUAGCUAGUUGGAGAGGUAACGGCUCACCAAGGCUACGAUGUCUAGGGGCUCUGAGAGGAGAAUCCCCCACACUGGUACUGAGACACGGACCAGACUCCUACGGGAGGCAGCAGUAAGGAAUAUUGGUCAAUGGAGGCAACUCUGAACCAGCCAUGCCGCGUGCAGGAUGACUGCCCUAUGGGUUGUAAACUGCUUUUGUCAGGGAAUAAACCUUUCUACGUGUAGGAAGCUGAAUGUACCUGAAGAAUAAGGAUCGGCUAACUCCGUGCCAGCAGCCGCGGUAAU
rnacentral:rRNA from 1 species